rnacentral:rRNA from 1 species
CGGCGGACGGGUGAGUAACACGUGGGCAACCUGCCUGUAAGACUGGGAUAACUUCGGGAAACCGGAGCUAAUACCGGAUAAUGCAUUUCCCCUCAUGGGGAUAUGCUGAAAGAUGGUUUCGGCUAUCACUUACAGAUGGGCCCGCGGCGCAUUAGCUAGUUGGUGAGGUAACGGCUCACCAAGGCAACGAUGCGUAGCCGACCUGAGAGGGUGAUCGGCCACACUGGGACUGAGACACGGCCCAGACUCCUACGGGAGGCAGCAGUAGGGAAUCUUCCGCAAUGGACGAAAGUCUGACGGAGCAACGCCGCGUGAGUGAUGAAGGUUUUCGGAUCGUAAAACUCUGUUGUCAGGGAAGAACAAGUGCCGGAGUAACUGCCGGCACCUUGACGGUACCUGACCAGAAAGCCACGGCUAACUACGUGCCAGCAGCCGCGGUAAUACGUAGGUGGCAAGCGUUGUCCGGAAUUAUUGGGCGUAAAGCGCGCGCAGGCGGUCUCUUAAGUCUGAUGUGAAAGCCCACGGCUCAACCGUGGAGGGUCAUUGGAAA